rnacentral:tRNA from 1 species
UCCCUGGUGGUCCAGCAGUUAGGACUGCAAUCUCUCACUGCUGACAGCCGAGGUUCAAUCCCUUGUCGGGGAA